rnacentral:lncRNA from 1 species
GGCAUAGAUAUUUUAAUUUGCUAACAUGUUUUAUUCUGUGUAUUAACACAGAUUUGUACGUGACAAUAUGGAGUUUUCUGUUAAAUUAGCAAGCCAAUCGACGCUAUUUAAAACAAACCUAUGUGGCAGAGUGAAAUUCCACUUAUUUUCUGUCUUACCUAACCUUCUUCUCAGUAAAAUCACUUCAAAAACGAAUUAUUUCUUUUUAAAAUAGAAUAUUUUAGAGGUGGACUUUUAUUUUGACAGGAAAGUCACGGAGCUAGGAAGUGCUCACAGGGGCAGCGUUCAGGAGCAGACAGGCUUGUGCGGACUAAGGGAAGUUGCAUCGAGGAGCAGUAUACUAAAAGCUCUAUUGGCAAGACUAGUGUGUUUGUGUGGAGAGGGAGGACAGUGCCACCCAGUGAUGGGAAGGUGUACCUGCACUCUUGGAAGAAAAGGAAAGACCUGUAAACCAGUGUUACCCAGGGGGCGCUAUGGAGCACAGUGCCGUGGUGUAUGUUCAUGUGUAAAUGGAGGUGUCUGUGACAGGGCUGAUGGAACCUGUAGAUGUGGACUGGGUUGGACCAGGACACACUGUGAGGAAGGUAAACUGUGUGAUUAUAGUGAGUUUACUGUGGCA